AGCUAAACUGAUUCAAGCUGAACCCGCCUUCCUCUGAUUAGCUGGCCUUCACCCUACUCUGCGUCUGACUGGCUUACCCUGAUACUCUUACCCUAACCCUGACCAAUCUCACUCCUCAUGUCUAAACCUAAUCAACCCAACCAAUGGAGGCGGCCAAUCAGAGGCAGAGUAGCGUGGGUCUUUUUGCUUGUCCACGCAAAAGAGAAAGUGGCUCCCUCCCGGGGAGGAGCCGUAUGUGUUUUCCUCUCGGCUGUGGGAUGGAUACUCCAGAGACACAAUCUGUUUUGUAAGUAGCUAUGCAAAAAAUGUUUUUAAUUCCUGCAAGACUGUGAGUUGAUUCUUUGUGCAUCAGGAUAUUGCCAUAAUUAUUAUUAAAUAAUGCUCCUGGGAAUAUUUCAAGUUUAUUGUAGGCUGAGCAUGACAAAGCAGUAACUGUUGCACAUAGUUCUGCUCCUUGUUUUGCUUUGUGUCAUUUUGUUAAAUAAUGUUGACUAAAAUGUUCUGUUUUUUUUGUUGUUUUUCAAAUCUCUUCUUCAGAGUGACGGCGCUGGAAAAGAGGCGGUGGAGAAGGUUCUAUGUGCACUUGGCGGGAGACACUAAUGGGACCCACAAAGAGUUUGUUUCGCAUAUAAGACAGCUUGGUCAUACAAAGGUGUCCUCUCCUGAGGAAAGCGACUAUGUUGUGGUUUUCUGUCCUAUCGCGUCACAAGCGGAAACAGACUUCAGCGAGGCCCUGGAAGACAUUCCAUGUAGGUCAUGACUUUGACCACUGUUUGACCAAUGUCGCACUGCUAAGUCACAGUUGGCAAACCAACAAUUCUGAUGGUGAUGCAUCACACCGUCGACCGUAACCAGGUUGUAGCUGAAAGCAGACGACUGGUGAACAACCCCAACGUGCACCUCACUGUGGACGUUCUGUUACACAAGGGUAAAAUCACGAAGUGUGAUCAAAACCGAAAAGCGUGGUUUGACUUUGUGAUGUUUCUUGCAGCAUCUUUCAGAAGUAACAACAAAAAGGUGAGGACUAGUUUUACUGAUAUGAUGCAGCCAAGUUUACACAUAAUCAAUUUCUCUUCUGAGUUGGCAGUUUAGUUACAAAGUACUGUCACUCAUAUUGUUGUCUUAUUGUCUUUCUGCUCACUACCUGGAAUGACAUCAUCAAUUGUAAGUAUGUCUGUAAUCAUGAACUUAAGAUUUUUACAAGUCACGACAGUGUCAGCAGCUAAUGUUUUCCCCUUGUUAGUCUCUGUGUGUUAUCAGGGCAAAAUGUGUCCUGGAGUCUCUUGUUUUUUAAGUUUAUCUUGAAACUUCAUUCACAUGGGCAUAUUCACACAACUGAUCACGCGAGAAAAAUAAAAAUGACAGGCCAAAACCCUGAAUUUUUCUCAAGUUUUCCUGCAUGAAGAAAUAUCGACAUUGCUAUAAUUAUUCGAAAAUGUGAACUAAAUCAUUUUUGAUUGCUUGAGUGGUAUAUAAAACUAUGUUACUAAUUCCCCUCUUUAUUUAUUUUAGGGUUGAUGGACCAUCAGAUCAUGAUUUUUUUAAUGGUAACUAUGACUGCUCUUAUUUUGGUGGGGGUUAUUGUGGCUACGACAGUAACACAACCGUAGAAACUGGAGCUCUAAGCAGAUCUGUGAGGCAUGUGCAGCAGCAUGUGUGACAAAACCCAAAGGUAGCAGUUUACAGUAUUGUCACAAUUCUUAAAGUGAAUGAAUGUUCAAAGUAAUGCAUGUUUAAUCAUCUGCAAAAAUGUAAUAAUGGAAGGAUUGUCAUUGUUAUAAUUGUAGGAUACUUGUGUUAGAUGAUACAGAUGUUUUUUUUACAGAGCUUAUGAUUCCCUGAACAUAUUACAGGGGUCCCUGAUGGAGCCGUUUCAAGGUGCACUAUGCAGUUUUGUGGAAUGCAUUUUAAUCAGAAGACAAAGAUCUUCAUAUAAUGAAUGAACUUUGAGUGUUUUUUGGGAUUUUUUUUAAAAAAGAAUGUAUUUAUUAAUUUAUCUUUUUUAGUUUUGGCUUGAUGUCACCGUUCCUCCUGAGAUAUUGACCUCAAAGUAAUCAAAGAGUUUUUGUGUAAGAGAUGGGAGACAAAUAAAUAAAUGAAUAAAUGAUAAUAUGAGGGUUAUGACCAAAGUUACUUUGCAGCCCCAGUAAUUGUGCUUUGAGGUGCAGGUUUUGGAGUAUGUUAAUGUUUAAGUGUGUGUAGUAGAGCUUUGUAAGGUCCAGUCACAUCAAGUUUCAAAUAAAGACAAAUCUUCUGUUUAAAACUGUGACUGCUGCUUUGUGCUCAUGCAGAUAUCAAGUUUUUCCAUCAUAAAGAAUGAAUAAAAAUGAAUCAAACUGACUAUAUCAUAUUUGUUAAGCUUGUCUUUGUACAUUUGUCAUAUCUGUGAUAUAAAAUGUAAUGGAUUAUUAUCAAAAAAUAGGUAAAUGUCCAAUAAAAAGUAA